rnacentral:rRNA from 1 species
UACGGAGGGUGCGAGCGUUACCCGGAAUCACUGGGCGUAAAGCGCACGUAGGCGGCUUUGUAAGUUAGAGGUGAAAGCCUGGAGCUCAACUCCAGAAUUGCCUUUAAGACUGCAUCGCUUGAAUCCAGGAGAGGUGAGUGGAAUUCCGAGUGUAGAGGUGAAAUUCGUAGAUAUUCGGAAGAACACCAGUGGCGAAGGCGGCUCACUGGACUGGUAUUGACGCUGAGGUGCGAAAGCGUGGGGAGCAAACAGG